rnacentral:rRNA from 1 species
UACGUAGGGCGCAAGCGUUGUCCGGAAUUAUUGGGCGUAAAGAGCUCGUAGGCGGCCUGUCGCGUCUGCUGUGAAAUCCCGGGGCUCAACCCCGGGCGUGCAGUGGAUACGGGCUGGCUGGAGGCAGGCAGGGGAGAACGGAAUUCCCGGUGUAGCGGUGAAAUGCGCAGAUAUCGGGAGGAACACCGGUGGCGAAGGCGGUUCUCUGGGCCUGUACUGACGCUGAGGAGCGAAAGCGUGGGGAGCGAACAGG